UACGGGGGGGGCAAGCGUUGUUCGGAAUGACUGGGCGUAAAGGGCGCGUAGGCGGCUCGUGAAGUCGGGUGUGAAAGCCCGGGGCUCAACCCCGGAACGGCAUCCGAUACUGGCGGGCUUGAGACCGGGAGAGGAGGGUGGAAUACCCAGUGUAGAGGUGAAAUUCGUAGAUAUUGGGUGGAACACCGGUGGCGAAAGCGGCUCUCUGGCCCGGAUCUGACGCUGAGGCGCGAAAGCGUGGGGAGCAAACAGG
rnacentral:rRNA from 1 species